UGGUGGAAUGAUCUCUGUCUGGUCGGCUCUGUUAUUGGGCGCAACCUUAGCCUGCUAAAUAGCUGCGCGUAGCCUCGGCUGCGUGGGCAACUUCUUAAGGGGACUUUUCGCGUCUAACGCUAGGAAGUUUGAGGCAGCAGCA
rnacentral:rRNA from 1 species